rnacentral:tRNA from 1 species
CAGAGGGUGGUCCAAUUACGAUCUUAGCUUUGGGUGUUAAGGAUGGGAGUUAAAGUCUUCCCCUUCUGA